CACCUACGGGGGGCAGCAGUAGGGAAUCUUCCACAAUGGACGAAAGUCUGAUGGAGCAACGCCGCGUGAGUGAAGAAGGGUUUCGGCUCGUAAAGCUCUGUUGGUAGUGAAGAAAGAUAGAGGUAGUAACUGGCCUUUAUUUGACGGUAAUUACUUAGAAAGUCACGGCUAACUACGUGCCAGCAGCCGCGGUAAUACGUAGGUGGCAAGCGUUGUCCGGAUUUAUUGGGCGUAAAGCGAGUGCAGGCGGUUCAAUAAAACUGAUGUGUAAACCUUUUGGCCAA
rnacentral:rRNA from 1 species